rnacentral:rRNA from 1 species
GAUGAACGCUGGCGGCGUGCUUAACACAUGCAAGUCGAACGAUGAAGCCCAGCUUGCUGGGUGGAUUAGUGGCGAACGGGUGAGUAACACGUGAGUAACCUGCCCUUAACUCUGGGAUAAGCCUGGGAAACUGGGUCUAAUACCGGAUAGGAGCGCCUACCGCAUGGUGGGUGUUGGAAAGAUUUAUCGGUUUUGGAUGGACUCGCGGCCUAUCAGCUUGUUGGUGAGGUAAUGGCUCACCAAGGCGACGACGGGUAGCCGGCCUGAGGGGGUGACCGGCCACACUGGGACUGAGACACGGCCCAGACUCCUACGGGAGGCAGCAGUGGGGAAUAUUGCACAAUGGGCGAAAGCCUGAUGCAGCGACGCCGCGUGAGGGAUGACGGCCUUCGGGUUGUAAACCUCUUUCAGUAGGGAAGAAGCGAAAGUGACGGUACCUGCAGAAGAAGCACCGGCUAACUACGUG